rnacentral:rRNA from 1 species
UACGGGGGGGGCAAGCGUUGUUCGGAAUUACUGGGCGUAAAGGGCUCGUAGGCGGCCAACUAAGUCAGACGUGAAAUCCCUCGGCUUAACCGGGGAACUGCGUCUGAUACUGGAUGGCUUGAGUUUGGGAGAGGGAUGCGGAAUUCCAGGUGUAGCGGUGAAAUGCGUAGAUAUCUGGAGGAACACCGGUGGCGAAGGCGGCAUCCUGGACCGGUAUUGACGCUGAGGAGCGAAAGCCAGGGGAGCAAACGGG